UACGGAAGGCAGCAGUGGGGAAUAUUGCACAAUGGGCGCAAGCCUGAUGCAGCCAUGCCGCGUGUAUGAAGAAGGCCUUCGGGUUGUAAAGUACUUUCAGUCGUGAGGAAGGUGUUAAGGUUAAUAACCUUAGCAAUUGACGUUAGCGACAGAAGAAGCACCGGCUAACUCCGUGCCAGCAGCCGCGGUAAUACGGAGGGUGCGAGCGUUAAUCGGAAUUACUGGGCGUAAAGGGCACGCAGGCGGUUAAUUAAGUUGGAUGUGAAAUCCCCGGGCUUAACCUGGGAAUGGCAUUCAAGACUGGUUAGCUAGAGUCUUGUAGAGGGGGUAGAAUUCCGAUGUGUAGCGGUGAAAUGCGUAGAGAUGUGGAGGAAUACCGGUGGCGAAGGCGGCCCCUGGGACAAAGACUGACGCUCAUGUGCGAAAGCGUGGGGAGCAAACAGGGAUUAGAUA
rnacentral:rRNA from 1 species